UAUGCCAUGCCCUGUGCGUGAGCAGCUGCAGCGGCAGAGGCAGCAUCCAGAGGCGGCGCCAGCAGUUCCAGCCCGUUGCUUUACUUUUUGCUGCACCGACAUAGCCACUAUGCAGAAGAGAAAGUCUCCAGAGAAUACAGAGGGCAAAGAUGGCUCCAAAGUAACUAAACAGGAGCCCACAAGAUGGUCUCCCAGAUUGUCAGCAAAACCUCCUCCACCAAAACCUGGACCCAAACCAAGAAAAACAUCUGCUAAGAAAGAACCUGGAGCAAAGGUUAGCAGAGGUGCUAAAGAGAAGAAAGGAAAAGUAGGAAGCUGGAAAGGAAGGUACUGCACCAUCUGAAAAUGAUGAAACUAAAGCUGAAGAGGCACAGAAAACUGAAUCUGUAGAUAACUAGGGAGAAUAA